rnacentral:rRNA from 1 species
UACGGGGGGUGCGAGCGUUGUCCGGAUUCACUGGGCGUAAAGGGCGCGUAGGCGGCAAUUCAAGUCAGUUGUGAAAUCUCCGAGCUUAACUCGGAACGGUCAACUGAUACUGUUUUGCUAGAGUACAGAAGGGGCAAUCGGAAUUCUUGGUGUAGCGGUGAAAUGCGUAGAUAUCAAGAGGAACACCUGAGGUGAAGACGGGUUGCUGGGCUGAUACUGACGCUGAGGCGCGAAAGCUAGGGUAGCAAACGGG